rnacentral:rRNA from 1 species
GUGGGGAAUAUUGGACAAUGGGCGCAAGCCUGAUCCAGCCAUGCCGCGUGAGUGAUGAAGGCCCUAGGGUUGUAAAGCUCUUUCACCGGUGAAGAUAAUGACGGUAACCGGAGAAGAAGCCCCGGCUAACUUCGUGCCAGCAGCCGCGGUAAUACGAAGGGGGCUAGCGUUGUUCGGAAUUACUGGGCGUAAAGCGCACGUAGGCGGACAUUUAAGUCAGGGGUGAAAUCCCGGGGCUCAACCCCGGAACUGCCUUUGAUACUGGGUGUCUGGAGUAUGGAAGAGGUAAGUGGAAUUCCGAGUGUAGAGGUGAAAUUCGUAGAUAUUCGGAGGAACACCAGUGGCGAAGGCGGCUUACUGGUCCAUUACUGACGCUGAGGUGCGAAAGCGUGGGGAGCAAACAGGAUUAGAAACCCUUGUAGUCC